rnacentral:misc_RNA from 1 species
AGAGCACCACUGCUCUUCUGAGUUACCAAUCCGCCGGCUAUCCACAGACUGGUGAUCACGUGUGAUUACCACGUGACAAUUUUAAUCCACGUCCGGGUUAACACGGACACAACUGCCUUGCAGAUUUUUAUUUUUUCUAGUACGUGCUCUUCGAACACGUGCUAUGGUAGAAAAUUGACAAUAGGAUGUUUUUGUCAGAAUUCUUGUGUUACGUUUUGUUUUUGGUGGUAAUACCAGGCGUUAAUGGGUGGUGAUCUAUUGGUGUUUACAUAAGUACAAUCGUACUAGUUUACAUCAUGAAUCAUUUCCUAGUCAAUAGUGAGUGUUCAAUAUCCUGUUUAUACAUCAUUAUUAUUCCCGGACUCUUUAUAAAAAAAAACAAAAUAAAAUAAAAACAACACAAAAAUAUCAAACAUAGAAAUUGUAGACAUUUGUCAAUUUUGUGUACAUGUAUUUGCACUGCCAUUUUAUAAACAUUACGUAAGGGACCAUUUGAUGCACAUUUUAUAUCAAUCUUGUCUAAUUCUAUUUUUUGAUAAAUUUCUUCGGUGAUUUUCAUUUCAUAUUCACUUUACACACAUUUUGUUUCCUCACAUCAUUAAUUUUCAGUCAUUAAUCAAUGUUAAAUCAAUUUUUUGGUUUUGUUUUAGUAUUCCCAAUUCUAGUUUUUUUUCAGUACGGGACGAUUUGUUAUUGAUGUAACAAAAUCACAAACGGAGGAGUGUGUUGUUACAACAUUGGUUAAGGGAUGUGAUUUGCUGAAGGAAGCUUGUUGUAGAGAUAUAGCAGGUCUAUAUACGGGUUUUGUUUUGUUUUCAUUAUUUUGUACAUAUUACAUGUUAUUACAUGUUGUUUCAUUGUGUAGUUUCUGUUCCAUUUUGAUGUUACGACAUCUUGAUUAAAAUAAAUACUGCCAAAGUGUC